AGCAGCCGCGGUAAUUCCAGCUCCAAUAGCGUAUAUUAAAGUUGCUGCAGUUAAAAAGCUCGUAGUUGAAUUUCGGGAUCAAUAUGUUGGUCGUGCCUCGGUACGUACUAGCUUAUUGGUUUCUCCCUUCUGACGAACCAUGAUGUCAUUUAUUUGGUGUUAUGGGAAAUCAGGACUGUUACUUUGAAAAAAUUAGAGUGUUUAAAGCAGGCUCACGCUUGAAUACAUUAGCAUGGAAUAAUGAAAUAGGACGUUUGAUUCUAUUUUGUUGGUUUCUAGGAUCGACGUAAUGAUUAAUAGGGAUAGUUGGGGGCAUUAGUAUUCAAUUGUCAGAGGUGAAAUUCUUGGAUUUAUUGAAGACUAACUACUGCGAAAGCAUUUGCCAAGGAUGUUUUCAUUAAUCAAGAACGAAAGUUAGGGGAUCGAAGACGAUCAGAUACCGUCGUAGUCUUAACCAUAAACUAUGCCGACUAGGGAUCGGAUGAUGUUAAUUUUUUAAUGACUCAUUCGGCGCCGUUAA
rnacentral:rRNA from 1 species